rnacentral:rRNA from 1 species
GAUGAACGCUGGCGGCGUGCCUAAUACAUGCAAGUCGAGCGAACGGACGAGAAGCUUGCUUCUCUGAUGUUAGCGGCGGACGGGUGAGUAACACGUGGAUAACCUACCUAUAAGACUGGGAUAACUUCGGGAAACCGGAGCUAAUACCGGAUAAUAUUUUGAACCGCAUGGUUCAAAAGUGAAAGACGGUCUUGCUGUCACUUAUAGAUGGAUCCGCGCUGCAUUAGCUAGUUGGUAAGGUAACGGCUUACCGAGGCAACGAUGCAUAGCCGACCUGAGAGGGUGAUCGGCCACACUGGAACUGAGACACGGUCCAGACUCCUACGGGAGGCAGCAGUAGGGAAUCUUCCGCAAUGGGCGAAAGCCUGACGGAGCAACGCCGCGUGAGUGAAGAAGGUCUUCGGAUCGUAAAACUCUGUUAUUAGGGAAGAACAUAUGUGUAAGUAACUGUGCACAUCUUGACGGUACCUAAUCAGAAAGCCACGGCUAACUACGUG